UGACUGAGGGGGCGUGGCCAGGAGGACGACUACAGAGAGGUGACUGAGGGGGCGUGGCCAGGAGGACGACUACAGUGAGUUCACACACACCUCUCAAUGUGCAGUUGUGGGCGAGAGCAUCUCCUGUGUAUCCGGACGCACAGAGCUCACAGUGUGCUCCGGCGGUGUGGUUGGCACACAUUAGGCAGCGCCCGCUCUCCGGGUGGCAGGUCCGGGGCCACGAGCGAGGAUCGGCGUUCCCGUUACACUCACAGCGCACGCAAUCGCCUCCUGAUUUGUAAAAGCCGUCUGUACACACUUCACAGGUGCUGCACCGGAAGCCACUGAUCUUUACCCAGAGCUGUCAAAAUGACUGAAGAAGAAGAUGACAAGAACUUCCCUGGAUGACUGUAAUGAUGUUUAUCGCGUCGUGAGGCUGUCACUCUCACUGCAAUGUCCAGUACAAUGGAGAUGGGCUUUAAACUAUAUGAUUCAAGUUACGUCAACAACUCUGAGGAAAACCAAGCUUGUCUUGCCAUACACCUGUCUACUACCUGGAGGCUCCGCCCACAUUCCCCACCCCGAUGGUAUUACAUCACUGCACACGUGAGCAAGAGCGAAACGGAGCGUCUCACCGAGGUGGCAGGUGCCUGAAG